UGUGUUUUGUGAAUACUGAAGGGCUUGAUUCUGUUUCAUGUAUUUCCUUUAGCAGUUCAAAAUUAAUUUAGGUUGUUUGAAAUGUGCUUGACUGACAAUUUUAGAAACUGAAUUCUUGUGUUUAAUCUCAGACUGAGUCUGACACAAGGCAGCCACUCAGCUGUAUUAGAGAGGAAACUUUGCUAAUCUGAGGGUGUUGAAUCUAUAAGCAGAGAUGGAGUGCCAUUAUCCUUCAAAGUGCACAUGGAAUAGAUAACAGAAGCCAUGUCAGCAGCAUUGAAACAUUAAUGAACAGAAUGAAGUAAAUUUAUGUUCCAGAAGCUGUGGGUCCUCUUCUGCAACCUGUCCACAAGAGCUCAGUAAUAGAGUGGAUUGGUUUGUGGCCAUGGUGUUAACUGAGAAAAGGACAACUUUGCAAUGGAUUUGGUUCAGCUGCACUGGUUUACCUGAGGUGGAUGAAGUGUUGUGCUGAGGUAUCUAAUUUUCUGUAAGACACAUUUGAAUCCAGUCAGAGCCCAAAGUGGAUGAGGCCAAAGAGGUCUUCACUGUCAUUACUAUAUGGGAUCCCAAUCCUCUUUGCUAUUAAGGGAAUAGAGAGAUGUGUGGGAAGCAAUGGACAGCUGGCAGAGGUGCCGUUUUCUACUUGGAGAAAGGGUUCAUAUCUCUUUGAUAUAGCCUUGGAUAAUAUUCCUGUCAUAUUGUGGGAGUCAGCAACAGAGAAAAGAGAGUUUCAGGUUUUGUGAAUUGUCAUUCAUCAGUCAGUAGGCAACACAGCUGAGUUUAUGCAGUAACUCAAA